rnacentral:lncRNA from 1 species
CUGGCCACAUCCCCAUCUUAUCGCUUUAUCUUCCAUUGAGCAGAGGUUCUGCCAGGUGCAGGGGACAAGGGAGAAGAAAAGACACGCACAUUCUCCUGGGCUUCAAAGUUGUCCCAUCCUUCUGUGAUGUCAUAAUCUGAGCCAUAGCCCACAAAUGUGAACUCCAACAACCCCCAAACCCAGUCCUCACCUCCCACAUGCUUUUCAUCACCCGCUCUCACAUCCCAUCUGGGGCCUCUGCUUCCAUCCUACCAUUUCGCAAGCCUGGCCAACUCAAGCUCCGUGUGCUGCACCUAGAGCAGCCCAUCUCUGUGUCAGCUUUCAUAAGGAGGAGUCAGAGAAGUAAUCUGGAGCCACUAAGAGUCAAAGACAGGAAAAAUGGGCUUAAGCAGGAGGAAAAUUCCAGCAGGACAAAGAAACACAGGCUGGGAGGUGAGCUGCUCAGUUGCCAGAGUAUCAACCUGAGCCCAGGACACUGCCAGACUGCUGAGUCAAAGAGGGUUUAGCAGCCCAUUUUCAUAGACAGACAGGUGAGAGGAGGAUGCUGGACAUGGUCCCAGAGACAUGGGGACUCAAGAAACAUGAAGAUCUGUUCACAGCUAAGGGCACAUUUCCAUGCCGAGAAAUCAGGCGUGAGCGCAAGAGUCCUAUCGUCUACCAGAAAAAGAAAUCUUUGGGAGCAUUCAAGGAGGAAUGGCUUCAUGAUGGCAAUGAGCGGCAUCGCCUGAAAGACAGCCUUCGAGAGUCUCCCAGAGCCGCUGAGGAGCAAGGCAGAGAACUGCAAUCCAAGCAAAUGUGGUGGGUGUGAAGCUUUCAAGAAGUUGGGUCAAGAACAAGGACUGAAAGAGGAGCAUCAAUUUAUGGGGGCCACUGAGGCUUUCAGAGAUUUUGUGACCUACCAAACUGGCACAGCUAGUAAAUGGAUGACAAGCCAUUAACAUGGAAAGAAGAAGAGGCAUCCAAAGUGUUGGGUCCGCAUCGCCCUUGCCUUGGAGGAAGCUCCAAAUAGAGGGAAGGAUGGUUUCCAGCAGUCCCUGAAGUGCCUUUCCUCCUUCGUGGGAUCCAGUUACACCCAGCAGACUUCAGUUUGAAUAAACAGAACUAGAUGAAUACACCUAGGGAAUCUGUGAGGCCAGCCUCAGCUUUUAACAUCCAGCUACAGGGAGGUGAGAGAAGCUUCAGCCAGUUGUUUUCUAAGAGCGAGAUAAAGAAACCACCCUCCAAUUAUGCAUCAAAUUCUGCUUCACAGUUGAAUAAGGGGCAUGAAAUCGGAUGUUUUUCAAGCUCAAUAUAAAGCAGUGGAAAAC